CCUAGCCGUAAAAAUUUAACUACAACAUCAAGCGCCAGGGAAUUACGAGUGCAAACUUAAAAUCCAAAGGAUUUGACGGUGUCCCACCCACCUAGAGGAGCCUGUUCUUUAAUCGAUAAUCCUCGAUACACCUCACCAUUUCUGGCUACUCAGUCUGUAUACCUCCGUCGUAAGCUUACCAUUUGAAUGCAAAAAAGUAAGUUUAAUGAUUACUCGUCAACACGUCAGGUCAAGGUGCAACCAAUGAAAUGGGAAGCAAUGGGCUACAAUCUCUAUUAUAGAAUACACGAAACACUACAUGAAAAACAGUCAUGAAGGCGGAUUUAGUAGUAAAAGAAGAAUAAUGUGCUUCUUUUAACAAGGCCCUGGGACGUGUACAAACCGCCCGUCACCCUCUUCAACAGCGUAACUUAAUUUAUAAUCUUCAAAAGCAAUUUAGAAGAGGCAAGUCGUAACAUGGUAAGUGUACUGGAAAGUGCACUUGGCAAAUCAAAACGUAGCUUAAAUAAAGCAUCUCGCUUACACCGAGAAAAUAUUUGUUAAUUCAAAUCAUUUUGAGA
rnacentral:rRNA from 1 species